ACGGAAGGCAGCAGUGAGGAAUAUUGGUCAAUGGAGGCGACUCUGAACCAGCCAUCUCGCGUGAAGGAAUACGGCCCUACGGGUCUUAAACCUCUUUUAUAGGGGGAUAAAGUGAGGCAUGCAUGCCUUUUUGUAGGUACCCUAUGAAUAAGCAUCGGCUAACUCCGUGCCAGCAGCCGCGGUAAUACGGAGGAUGCGAGCGUUAUCCGGAUUUAUUGGGUUUAACGGGUGCGCAGGCGGCACGUUAAGUCAGCGGUGAAAUGCAGGGGCUCAACCCCGGCACUGCCGUUGAAACUGGCGAGCUCGAGUACGGAUGAAGUUGGCGGAAUGUGAUGUGUAGCGGUGAAAUGCUUAGAUAUGUCACAGAACACCGAUUGCGAAGGCAGCUGACUAAUCCGCAACUGACGCUCAGGCACGAAAGCGUGGGGAUCGAACAGGAUUAGAUACCCUGGUA
rnacentral:rRNA from 1 species